AAUGCCCUGACUGAAGACCAGCAGUUAUGCUAUAUAGCUGUUGGUUUUGAACAGGCCUAAAUGACUAUCUUCCUGCAGUGUCUUGGCUAUUCUGGAAUCUCAGCAGAGAAUGGCUGUUUCAUUUGGAAGAAACAACC
ensembl:snoRNA